AUUAAUUUAUUAAAAACUCAUUAAUUUUAAAAUCAUUGUUAUCACCAUGUGAGAAUUAUAUUUUUGCCCUUGUAUGCUUGAAAAUGGGAAUUUGGCCCUAAGGGUAAUGGGGUAAUUGUGCAUUUUGGUUUUUGAGUCAUUAAAAGAGAAAUAUUAAGCAAAUGGGAUUUUAAUUUCUGCAUUUUUCGAGCCCUAGCAGCUGAACCCCCUUCCCUCUCUCUCUCAAAACUCAUUUUUCUAGCUUUAAUUUUGUGGUGAUUUGCUUUUGGUAGUAAGCUUAGUUUUGGAGAUUUGGGACUUUGUUCUUGCUUGGAUUUGAGGAUUACUGAUACUUGGUCAGGAGCACCCGGAGAUUUGGAAUCUCCAUAUUUGCGGGACAUCAGGAAAGGGUAAAUCUGUCUCUGAUCAGCCAUGAGUGCGAGAGCUGGGCGAUGUAUGUACAUGUUCGGGCCACACUAGACCAAGCAGGUUGGGGUCUACCAGUGACAUACUUUUAAAACUUUGAUUUUGCCGCCUAGGUCGGCUAGUGAAAAGACUUGUAAUAUUUUGUAAAAUAGAUUUGGGAUCCCGAAACAUGUAACUUUUGAUUGUAAAGUAAAGUUGAUUACAAGUUUUAUUUUCAAUA